rnacentral:misc_RNA from 1 species
AACAGGUUUGUAACUACAUGUAUCUUGACAAUGACAAAUUUGAACACAUAAGAAGAAAAGAGAAAAAAGUGAGAACAAAAUGCAGAGUCAAGAUACAUGUAGUUACAAACCUGUUUUAUAGGGCAUUUUACCCUUCCUAAAUCAGUCAAAGACUCCAUCAAAUGCUAAUAAAACAAACAACGAUAGAAUACAACAAACCGAAAAACACCCAUAUAUAAAUAUAGAGCAGUUACGUUAAAUACAUCACACAAACCUAAUAAGUUAUCAGCACUAGGCUAUAUAUAAUCAGUGCAUGGAAUCUAUGUUCUUGCUCAGCUCCUCCAGCUUCUUCAGCCUCAACCUCUCACUUUCUCUCACCAGCUCCAUCAAUUUGGUUAUAAGCUGUUCUUUCUCCUUGUUCUUUUCAUUGAAAGCCUCCUGGGCUUCCUUGUAUUCUCUCUCCUUCUUCUGGACAGUAUGCCCUAGUGGCUUCAAUUCUUUGUUCACUGUAUCAAUCUUCUUUCUAACUACAGCAACCUCUUUCCUCAUGGGAUCUGCCAGUGCUUCAAGUUCCUCACGAAUCAUGGCCAAACGUUUGGUCUCUUCCUCAACACGACCCAACUGAGCUUGUACUUUCUCUUUAACCUCCAGUUUCUUCUUCUCAAUCUCUUCUUCUUUAGCUCUAAAGGCGGAAAGGGCAGACCUUGACAUCUCUUCAUCUUCUUUAGACAUUUGGCUGCUAAAGCUAAGGCUGCCUGAGUUUUGCACUACUAACUGGUUCUGUUGCUGUGGUUGCUCCAUUUUCGGCAUCAUCGCUCAAGGCUCAAGCUUCACAGAAACCCUUCUCCUGCCUUGAAUUCCUCUCUUUAUUAUCUUUCUUUCUCUGUUUCUUUUCUUCCCU